rnacentral:rRNA from 1 species
AUUGAACGCUGGCGGCAUGCUUUACACAUGCAAGUCGAACGGCAGCGGGGGCUUCGGCCUGCCGGCGAGUGGCGAACGGGUGAGUAAUGCAUCGGAACGUGCCCAGUCAUGGGGGAUAACUACGCGAAAGCGUAGCUAAUACCGCAUACGCCCUGAGGGGGAAAGCGGGGGAUCGCAAGACCUCGCGUGAUUGGAGCGGCCGAUGUCGGAUUAGCUAGUUGGUGGGGUAAAGGCCUACCAAGGCGACGAUCCGUAGCGGGUCUGAGAGGAUGAUCCGCCACACUGGGACUGAGACACGGCCCAGACUCCUACGGGAGGCAGCAGUGGGGGAAUUUUGGACAAUGGGGGGCAACCCUGAUCCAGCCAUGCCGCGUGAGUGAAGAA